GAGAGAAAGCCCUGCAGUGUGUGUGAGACAAGAGACAAUUUCACAAAGGGCUCUCAGUUAUGGUCACCAGUAGGUACGAUGUAACACCACACUGCUAGUUUUCAGCAUGAAAAUAACUUAACCCGUGAGCUGUAAUCAUGAGUUACAGUUCUUUUCGGAUGAAGGAAAGAUCCAUUGUCAGUGCGCUGUCAGAGGGUGAAGGUGGGCUUUCAGUUCGCCUCUCAUUUGGGAGGAAUGAAUCAUUGCCAACAUGUUUUUGACAGCUAGGCAACACCAAACAGGAAGACUCCAAACAAAUAACACCAGUGAAGAAGAAGUGCUGCUGCCCCGCUGCUGACGAAACACUGCCACCUCCUGGACAACAU